rnacentral:rRNA from 1 species
GGUUAAGCGACUAAGCGUACACGGUGGAUGCCCUGGCAGUCAGAGGCGAUGAAGGACGUGCUAAUCUGCGAUAAGCGUCGGUAAGGUGAUAUGAACCGUUAUAACCGGCGAUUUCCGAAUGGGGAAACCCAGUGUGUUUCGACACACUAUCAUUAACUGAAUCCAUAGGUUAAUGAGGCGAACCGGGGGAACUGAAACAUCUAAGUACCCCGAGGAAAAGAAAUCAACCGAGAUUCCCCCAGUAGCGGCGAGCGAACGGGGAGCAGCCCAGAGCCUGAAUCAGUGUGUGUGUUAGUGGAAGCGUCUGGAAAGGCGCGCGAUACAGGGUGACAGCCCCGUACACAAAAAUGCACAUGCUGUGAGCUCGAUGAGUAGGGCGGGACACGUGGUAUCCUGUCUGAAUAUGGGGGGACCAUCCUCCAAGGCUAAAUACUCCUGACUGACCGAUAGUGAACCAGUACCGUGAGGGAAAGGCGAAAAGAACCCCGGCGAGGGGAGUGAAAAAGAACCUGAAACCGUGUACGUACAAGCAGUGGGAGCACGCUUAGGCGUGUGACUGCGUACCUUUUGUAUAAUGGGUCAGCGACUUAUAUUCUGUAGCAAGGUUAACCGAAUAGGGGAGCCGAAGGGAAACCGAGUCUUAACUGGGCGUUAAGUUGCAGGGUAUAGACCCGAAACCCGGUGAUCUAGCCAUGGGCAGGUUGAAGGUUGGGUAACACUAACUGGAGGACCGAACCGACUAAUGUUGAAAAAUUAGCGGAUGACUUGUGGCUGGGGGUGAAAGGCCAAUCAAACCGGGAGAUAGCUGGUUCUCCCCGAAAGCUAUUUAGGUAGCGCCUCGUGAAUUCAUCUCCGGGGGUAGAGCACUGUUUCGGCAAGGGGGUCAUCCCGACUUACCAACCCGAUGCAAACUGCGAAUACCGGAGAAUGUUAUCACGGGAGACACACGGCGGGUGCUAACGUCCGUCGUGAAGAGGGAAACAACCCAGACCGCCAGCUAAGGUCCCAAAGUCAUGGUUAAGUGGGAAACGAUGUGGGAAGGCCCAGACAGCCAGGAUGUUGGCUUAGAAGCAGCCAUCAUUUAAAGAAAGCGUAAUAGCUCACUGGUCGAGUCGGCCUGCGCGGAAGAUGUAACGGGGCUAAACCAUGCACCGAAGCUGCGGCAGCGACGCUGAUGCGUUGUUGGGUAGGGGAGCGUUCUGUAAGCCUGCGAAGGUGUGCUGUGAGGCAUGCUGGAGGUAUCAGAAGUGCGAAUGCUGACAUAAGUAACGAUAAAGCGGGUGAAAAGCCCGCUCGCCGGAAGACCAAGGGUUCCUGUCCAACGUUAAUCGGGGCAGGGUGAGUCGACCCCUAAGGCGAGGCCGAAAGGCGUAGUCGAUGGAAAACAGGUUAAUAUUCCUGUACUUGGUGUUACUGCGAAGGGGGACGGAGAAGGCUAUGUUGGCCGGGCGACGGUUGUCCCGGUUUAAGCGUGUAGGCUGGUUUUCCAGGCAAAUCCGGAAAAUCAAGGCUGAGGCGUGAUGACGAGGCACUACGGUGCUGAAGCAACAAAUGCCCUGCUUCCAGGAAAAGCCUCUAAGCAUCAGGUAACAUCAAAUCGUACCCCAAACCGACACAGGUGGUCAGGUAGAGAAUACCAAGGCGCUUGAGAGAACUCGGGUGAAGGAACUAGGCAAAAUGGUGCCGUAACUUCGGGAGAAGGCACGCUGAUAUGUAGGUGAAGUCCCUCGCGGAUGGAGCUGAAAUCAGUCGAAGAUACCAGCUGGCUGCAACUGUUUAUUAAAAACACAGCACUGUGCAAACACGAAAGUGGACGUAUACGGUGUGACGCCUGCCCGGUGCCGGAAGGUUAAUUGAUGGGGUUAGCGGUAACGCAAAGCUCUUGAUCGAAGCCCCGGUAAACGGCGGCCGUAACUAUAACGGUCCUAAGGUAGCGAAAUUCCUUGUCGGGUAAGUUCCGACCUGCACGAAUGGCGUAAUGAUGGCCAGGCUGUCUCCACCCGAGACUCAGUGAAAUUGAACUCGCUGUGAAGAUGCAGUGUACCCGCGGCAAGACGGAAAGACCCCGUGAACCUUUACUAUAGCUUGACACUGAACAUUGAGCCUUGAUGUGUAGGAUAGGUGGGAGGCUUUGAAGUGUGGACGCCAGUCUGCAUGGAGCCGACCUUGAAAUACCACCCUUUAAUGUUUGAUGUUCUAACGUUGACCCGUAAUCCGGGUUGCGGACAGUGUCUGGUGGGUAGUUUGACUGGGGCGGUCUCCUCCUAAAGAGUAACGGAGGAGCACGAAGGUUGGCUAAUCCUGGUCGGACAUCAGGAGGUUAGUGCAAUGGCAUAAGCCAGCUUGACUGCGAGCGUGACGGCGCGAGCAGGUGCGAAAGCAGGUCAUAGUGAUCCGGUGGUUCUGAAUGGAAGGGCCAUCGCUCAACGGAUAAAAGGUACUCCGGGGAUAACAGGCUGAUACCGCCCAAGAGUUCAUAUCGACGGCGGUGUUUGGCACCUCGAUGUCGGCUCAUCACAUCCUGGGGCUGAAGUAGGUCCCAAGGGUAUGGCUGUUCGCCAUUUAAAGUGGUACGCGAGCUGGGUUUAGAACGUCGUGAGACAGUUCGGUCCCUAUCUGCCGUGGGCGCUGGAGAACUGAGGGGGCUGCUCCUAGUACGAGAGGACCGGAGUGGACGCAUCACUGGUGUUCGGGUUGUCAUGCCAAUGGCACUGCCCGGUAGCUAAAUGCGGAAGAGAUAAGUGCUGAAAGCAUCUAAGCACGAAACUUGCCCCGAGAUGAGUUCUCCCUGACUCCUUGAGAGUCCUGAAGGAACGUUGAAGACGACGACGUUGAUAGGCCGGGUGUGUAAGCGCAGCGAUGCGUUGAGCUAACCGGUACUAAUGAACCGUGAGGCUUAACCUU